GCCCUGCUCCCGCCUCGGCGGCGGGGAGCUCGCGAGCCUGGCCCCGCGCCCCUCCGCGAACCCCGCACCCGCCCGGCGCGGCGGGCUCAACCCGGGGACCAGGGCUCCGCACGGACAGGUCUGCACUAACCACCUUCACGAUGCCCGCUGCUGCAGGCUGCCCAGCUCCGCAAAAGCCCCAUCUAGGAAGAGGACGAUCUGGUUGAGGCGGAGGUCCAGCAGUGUGAGGGCAGACAGGCCUAAGAAGACCCCCGGCCCCACGAUUCGCAGACGAUUGCCCUGCAGCCUCAGGGGCCGCCUGGUGGACACCCUACAGCACCUCAGAAGGUGGCAGCUUUGGGAAACUUAGAGAAUGAGGCCGGACGCGCAGAGGGAUGCGGGAAACCAGCUGAGGCUCCAGGCUGAGAAAGGACGGCUGGGGGUCCAGGCUGCUGCACACACCUCACAGGAACCGUACAGCUGUGUCGCCCAGGCCCUGCCCUUCUAGAGGGAAGACGAAGCCAGCCAAGGACCCCCUCCACAGAGACCCUUGUUUGGAGGACGCCAGCCACCAGGAAAGCCCCUCCUCCUCCAUCCUCUCAACCACAGGCCAAGACAGAAGUGUACAGUAAGACAGGCACCAGACCCUCUAGCCUCUCUGAGCUAGAGAAAACAGAGACCUAGAGUUGGACAGAAAGCCGCCGAAACGCGGAAAAACCCAUACUCGCGUCCUGGCCCUGUGCCCAGCCGGCAGCUCCCUCAGCCCCAGCAGCCCUCCUGUCCUCUUCCCUCCUCCCUCCUCCCCUCCCUGCCACCUGUACACCCUUCAGUGCCAUCUACCCCAAACCUCAAAGACAAACUUCCUAGUGCA